rnacentral:rRNA from 1 species
AUUGAACGCUGGCGGCAUGCCUUACACAUGCAAGUCGAACGGUAACGGGCCUUCGGGUGCCGACGAGUGGCGAACGGGUGAGUAAUGUAUCGGAACGUACCUUUCAGUGGGGGAUAACGUGGCGAAAGUUACGCUAAUACCGCAUAUUCUGUGAGCAGGAAAGCAGGGGAUCGCAAGACCUUGCGCUGAUUGAGCGGCCGAUAUCAGAUUAGCUAGUUGGUGAGGUAAAGGCUCACCAAGGCGACGAUCUGUAGCGGGUCUGAGAGGAUGAUCCGCCACACUGGAACGGAGACACGGUCCAGACUCCUACGGGAGGCAGCAGUGGGGAAUUUUGGACAAUGGGGGCAACCCUGAUCCAGCCAUGCCGCGUGAGUGAAGAAGGCCUUCGGGUUGUAAAGCUCUUUCGGCCGGGAAGAAAUCGUAUCAGCUAAUACCUGGUGCGGAUGACGGUACCGGCAUAAGAAGCACCGGCUAACUACGUGCCAGCCGCCGCGGUAAUAC